GCCCGGGUGGUGUAAUUGGCAGCCACGACAGACUUAAGAUCUGUUGUCCGCAAGGACGUGUCGGUUCAAGUCCGACCCCGGGCA
rfam:Candidatus Wolfebacteria bacterium RIFCSPLOWO2_01_FTLL_47_17b rifcsplowo2_01_scaffold_22145, whole genome shotgun sequence.